CACAACACUGAAAUGAAGGCGAAGUCACCAUGAAAAGUUAAACGUUUACCGUUAAGGUGUACCUGAGCUACAGUAAUUGAUGUUAAAAAACUGAUGCUACCAAUCACUCCUCACUUGAUUGUUCAAGGUAAUGUUGAUGUCUUCCUCAUUUUUAUUAGAUUUUGAAAUGUCAAGUUGUUCACAGAUUUGUUGUGAGGAGUUUCAUGUAAAACCUCUUUUUCUUCUUCCAGCAGUUCCUAAGAUAAAAAAAAAUCUGGUGUUAAAACACCAGUCUUUGUUUAUUAGCAAUUUUACUGGGCGUAUGGAACUGGAAACUGUAAGUUUAGUUCAAUAUGUUAUUUUAUGCUAUUCAUUUUUGUUUUAACAUGGAUUGCAUGGUGAAGCUAUCGUUUUAUAGUGGGAAAAUUGUAAAAGAGAAUCACUGAAUACAAUGGCAUAAUGAUUCUGCUUGUUCACAGAAGCCCAAAUUGUGAUGGACCUGGAAUGCGACACCAGUUACUCUUAAGACAAGAACCGAAUAAAGCACAGAUGUGGAGGGAUUUGCAGCCAAACUAACUGGAGGGAAGGAACCUUUAGUGUGGGUGAACAUACUACCUGGAUGUCCAACAAAGGCUGCACAAGAGCUCAUUUGAUAGCACAUAUUCUGUCCUGUCUACAUCUCUGAUGACCUGGAAGUGCUUC
ensembl:processed_transcript